AACCUCAGAUCCUCCUUUUGAGCUGCAGGAAUGCACUUGAAGCUCAGAUUGCUGCAGAUUGCAGCCUCACUAUGCUCAAUUUGAACUGGGCGUUAGGUAGCAUUUAAGCUUUUUUGAAAAAUGGAGGCCAGCUUUGGCCACAGAUUGGUACCAACAGAAUUUUUGCAUUUUGCCAGUCUGUUUGGUAUGAAAUAGUCCCUCACUGCAAUUUUAAUUGGCAUUUUCCUUAUUACUAGUAAAAUUACUCGGCAAUGAUCUCUCACUUCUGCAUCUUCAAUGCUUCCCCUCUCUACAUCAAAUCUAAACAGGCUUUAAUUUUUCCAAAUUAAACAAACUUACCCAACAAACAGACAAAUAAAUGCUACUUCACUUAAUUUUUCAGGCUAAAACUUAUUUCUCUGACCUCUUUAUGGCAAAAUUCUCUGGAAAAUUAUCUGCAUCAAUGUGUUUCAAAUUCUUCUGUGUCACUUGCUGCCAUUUACUUUAAAAAAGCUCCUCUUUCACUAGUACAUAAUACUUUCCUAUUUCUAAAUCCAAUGAUUAAUGUUCACACCUUAAUAUACUUGCUAUUUCAGCAAUAUUCGGCACAGACAAUCACUUUUGUCUUCAUGGAAUACUUUGUC
rnacentral:lncRNA from 1 species